GAGAAAGAGACAGCGAUAUCGAGGGCGAUGGUCGGGGCCUUGUAAGGAUCUGGCGGAGAUAGAGGGAUAACACUCUCCCCAGCCAGGCAGACGAGUGCAGAUUACAAGACGAGUGCAGAGGGAUCUGUCACGCCUUCAGCCAGCAUGCAUAAAUACUGUGGAUUUGUUGAGAACACUCAUGAGUCCAACAAAGAUGAAGAGGGAGAAGAAGAUGAUGGAGGAAGAAGAAGGAGAAAUGGGAACUAUAGCUCCAGGAGGUGGGACAGUGGUGAACGGAGCGGGCCAGGUUACAGGAUCCAACCCUGGGGACCUCCAUGGAGGAAGGAGUGUGGCUCAACAAGAAGAGGAGGAAGCAACGUCAUAAACAGAAGCUCUUGUCUCUGGGUCUGGUGCCCCGUGCUGCGGCUCGAGUUCACCUACGAGAGCGAGGGGGGAGGAAGAGAUGAGGCAGAGAAGAGCGGGCUGAAGUGAUAAUCUUCCUCAGGACCACACAAGAUCUAUGUGUCUGAUUGUGAGUGUGACAUACCAGGGCUGCUAAUCAACCCAGAUACGGUCACAUAUAGCCUAGGCUGUGUUUCAGUCUUCCUAAGAGCUGGCCAAAAGUGCUGAAGCAUAGUUCAUUUUAUCGCUUUCGGGAUUGGCAGAAAAUAAAUAAUUUGAACAGCACUGUACAGAGCACACGCACAUUGAAAGUGAAAGCACAGCUCAUUAAUCACUAGCCUAUAACAACUUGAGGACCUUGAGAGAUUUAGGAAUCGAGGUGUAGAGGUGCAUUGAGGUGUUUUGGGUUUACUUCAUCAUGCUCAAAUGUAAUGGACAGGCUCAGUCAUCUGGUCUGUCAUAAUCCCUCCAUGACUUGCCUCUGGAGGGCUAGACAGACCGACAGUCAGUCAGUCCAAAGAAUCCCAUUGGUUCCAGGGAUUAAGGUUUCUCUGUUGGUGAAUUACUGUGGGAGGCUAAGAAGGAAGACCUCUGGAAAUGUCCACAGUAGUUCAGUUAAAGGGGCCAGGUGCUCCUGUUCCUUAUAUGCACCUCAGUCUAGAGAAAGACCAGGUGAUUAGACACAGGCCCAUUCAGCAACAGAGUUCAUAAUGGUUGGUGGAGUAAUAGUAUACUGACUCCACUACUAAGCAGGUUCAUCUGGUAGUGGAGGGCCUUCUGACCAGCCUGUACAAUGGAACAUUCCCCCCUGCUGUUUUGGCCCAGCUCCACAGCCUCUAGUCCCUGGUGCAGCAACAGGACACAGCAAGGAUGGCAAAAUAUCUGCAGGAACUCCAGAACAGCUCUACCAUGUCUACUGGUGAUGCCACUGCAGCUGUGUCCCUGUUUCAGUACUGGAUCACAGACAUCCCGCCCAUGCAGAGAGAAUGGAAAACAGGCCAACCUACAACAUAACCUUCCUAGUCGAGCCAACCAACAACACAACCUUAGACUUUCCUAGAUGUUCAGGAUUUUUAACAAUACUGCUGACGGAAAACAUGUCUGACUUAAUUCAUUGUGAGCCCAUGAAACGGAGUUAAGUACAUACCGUAAGCUCACUCCACAGCUAGCUUUAAAUGUCGCGGAUGGAGCCAUCCAAUCGGUACCUUUUGGGUGGCUCAAACCGUUGGAAUGUUGUCAAGGAGGGAGGCAACGUAUGUUAGCAAAGCAGAGGUCCCGAGUUCGAGCCAGGUAUGAGCCGAAUGGAGGAAGUGAUUCCAGACGAAAUUAAUUAACCGUUUAAUGGAUUUUCCCCACAGAAAAGUGAGGCGAACAAGUGUUUUUUAAUUAUUUUGUUAUAAAUUAAAACAUUAAGUGGAUAAGGAAUAACAUUACUUUACCACAUUGUCCUAU